ncrna:unclassified sequences L13-Bacteroidia ribosomal protein leader
GGGGCGAAUUAUGCCCCAAAGUGCGUGUGAAUAGUUCGCUCUUUGGCCAGACGGACGGUUCGUGAAUC